CAGAGGGAGAGCUAGACAGGAAGAGGAAGCUGUGGCCUGAGACAGUUUCAUAAGACAUGAGGGCCCAGCUUACUUUCCUGUGCCUGGAUGGCCCCAAGUACUGCAAGACUGACCCCAGCUCCUCCCAAGAAUGCCCUGAAGCUGGGAGGCAGCCGAGGCAAGGAAAUGUGUGUAACUGUUUAUUGGAACGCUAAGCAAUCAACAUGCAACAUGUGACUUCCAGCAACUGUCAACGCAGCCCUGUGGAAAGGAAACCAAGCAGCGCAGCACGGGAAGGAAACUGACACGUGAAAGGAAACUGGACACAUUCUGUGAUGGGGAAACAAGUACCGGGAGCUGAAUAAUUGAAGCCUGGGUCAAUGCCCAAACCAGGAAAAGAAACCAGAGCUCCUGACUCCCUGAUCUGUGUUGGAAUAAAACUUAUCACUUAUUUGCAUAACCGUUGGAAGCUAUCAUUAAUUAAUGAUUCUACCACUAGGCCACAGCCCCUUCUAACCACGCUAUUUUCUUUGGACUUUUUCUGUUAAAACUUAAUCCAGAUUUCCAAUGAACAGACAUUUCCUAUGGCUUGCCAACAUGCAUUGUACUGUGGCCACUGAUGUUAGAUACAAGCUCACUGAACCUUCUCUGGAAUAAACCUCCAGAUCUCCCUGCCACCCACUUGAUUUAUUUUCCUCCUGGGAAAUCUGUCAGCCUCAUGUUAUGUCAUCUCCGGCACGUUAAGUUUCCAAAUGGUCACCAUGCAGAACCUGAUUCAACUCUCACAAUUAGAUUUUUUUUUCUACUGACUUUACUAUGAGUUGGUUCUAGUUGUGUACCAGAAAGCCUUGGUUAGCCCAGGCUUAAGGAGAAUUUAUUAAUAUUGUGCUGAUCUCUUGGCCAGUCACUCCC